AAUUUGUGCAAGACACAUUGCUUAUAGGACAGUGCCUAAAAAUACUUCAAAAGGUCAUUGCACAUCAGACAGAAGGCAGUGCUUGUUCCAGCCACUUGCACUGAGAAUACAGAUUUUGAAGAAGAAAGAAUGCUGAAAGAAUGAAGUGCGGUGAAAGCGACAGCACUGCAAGUCUGGGAGGUGAUGCUGUGUAGGCAGGUCUGAGCAGUGCAAGAAGGGCCCUCCUUGUCCGUGCAGCUGCCAAAGAAGAUGCAGCUUGUAAUGAUGCCUUAAUCACCUGCCUGCUAGACAAGGGCCGGGACCACCUAUUUGUUUCAAACAAGCCCUUUUAGCAGCUGUCAGAUGCUAAUGGCUUUCAGCUGCUGACAACCUGUGCCCUAUGCAAACCAGGGGACAUAUCAUGGAAAUGUGCAUAAAUAUUCAUGUGGGACUAACA